ensembl:lncRNA
GUAUGAUUUUACCAUCAAAACGUAGCCAUGGCUGUCCUCUUUCAUCCAAUGUGUUUACUAUUGUCCUAGGUGUUAUGGUUCUUUCAUAAAUGUCACCAAUGCACAGCCUCCUCCCUCCAACUCUUCCAUAGACUCCAAUGUUAAAAUGUCUCAGAAGGUUCGUUUGAAAAUCAGAAGAGCAUGGUGUCUUUCCACUGUCACCACGUCCAUAUAAUAAACUCCACAGGCAUGAAAACUGAGAAUUCAGUAGACUAGAAGCUGCUGUCACUCACGGUGAAAGAAUUUUGUCAAUACGACUUUUACUUUUCAUUUGGGAACGAUUUGUUUCGGCCUGACUUUUCUGUUCAUUUUAAGCAGCAAAAGUGAGGUGCAUGUCUGUGUACGUGUGUAUGGAGCCAUUGGGUGCGGUCACUAUAGCAACCAGGCUCACACCUGCCUGCUUAACGAGCUCUGCCUGCCACUGUACCAAGAUUCAUCUUAAGCACUUCUCUUUCAACUGCUGCUGUGUCCACAGUGUUAAAGCCAUCAUUUUACCCUCAAAACGUCGCCAUCGUUGUUCUUUUUCCAACAUCUUGUCUUUCAAAGCUCAGAGAUGUAAACUUUUUAAACUGUGUGGGUCCAAGUGGAGGGAUCACAUUUGAGUCAUUCAGUGAUUCAAAGAAUAUGACCUUUUAAUAUUCAUUCAGAUGUUUUCUGACUCUAAAUGUUCUUUUCUCAUUUCUUAGGGUUUUCUAAUUUAUAUUUAAAACAUUUUCAGUUUUUUUCCAACUCCUUCUUCUGUGUAACCUUCAGCUUUUAGCAGUUCAGCACCUUUGUUUUCAGGUUAAAUUCGUUUUUUUUUUUUGUUUUUUUUAAUCUCAUUCAAUAUUUUUAACUCAAAAUUCAGCAAUUAAUUCAUUUCAGUGCAUACAUUCAGAUUCAAGCAUUCACACUGCAGUUUCUUCAGAAAAUGCACUUUCUAGUUAGUGUGAAUGCUUGAAAAGCAUUCACAGUAUUGUUAUUCUAAUCUUUAUUAUUAUUAUAUUUUAUUUUUCCUGUGAAUGCUUGAAAAGCAUUCACAGUAUUGUUAUUCGAAUCUUUAUUAUUAUUAUUAUUAUAUUUUAUUUUUCCGUACGUUUUUUGUAAGCCUACUCCUUCAAAACCGUUCAACUUAGAAAAACCAUUCAAACACCGUUAGAUUCCUAUUCUUUUGGACAACACUGCUUCUAUUUUUCAUAUUUUUAACAUUUAUAUUUUUAAUUUUAUUCAACUUUAUUCAACAAAAAUUUAUAAUGUAUUUCAAUGGGGAGACCCUUCAAAUCCUCAUUCAACUUACUCAUUUUUAAACUCUUACUACUUCCACAUACAUUGACAUAGAGCCACCAUUCAAACUUUAAAACGAAGACAAGACAUUCAACUAUUCAACUUGUAUUUAUCUUUUCAAUAUCUUUUAUACUUUUUCUUCAGUUCCAGUUUAAGUUUCAUGAUGUUUUUUCACCCGUUUCAGAGUUUAUAAUGGGUGUGUAUGGGACGGAAUGUUGGGGCUAGAGUGAGGCAGCUCAACUGCUAGAGUGAGAGGAGCAAAAAAAUUAAUCUUAAAAUCUUUUUUAAAACUGCUGCUGUGUCCGCAGCGUUUGCUCUACAGGUAUGAUUUUACCCUCAAAACGUAGCCAUGGCUGUCCUCUUUCAUCCAAUGUGUUUACUAUUGUACUAGGUGUUAUGGUUCUUUCAUAAAUGUCACCAAUGCACAGCCUCCUCCCUCCAACUCUUCCAUAGACUCUAAUGUUAAAAUGGCUCAGAAGGUUGGUUUGAAAAUCAGAAGAGCAUGGUGUCUUUCCACUGUCACCAUGUCCAUAUAAUAAACUCCACAGGCAUGAAAACUGAGAAUUCAGUAGACUAGAAGCUGCUGUCGCUCACGGUGAAAUAAUUUUGUCAAUACGACUUUUACUUUUCAUUUGGGAACGAUUUGUUUCGGCCUGACUUUUCUGUUCAUUUUAAGCAGCAAAAGUGAGGCGCAUGUCUGUGUACGUGUGUAUGGAGCCAUUGGGUGCGGUCACUAUAGCAACCAGGCUCACACCUGCCUGCUUAACGAGCUCUCUCUCUCACUGUACCAAGAUUCAUCUUAAGCACUUCUCUUUCAACUGCUGCUGUGUCCACAGUGUUACAGCCAUCAUUUUACCC